CUGCUGAGCUGGAAACCCAAGAGGCCCAGAAAGCCAGUGUGCAAUGCUCUGCCCUAAAGAUGGGGCUGUGUGAGAGUGAGGGUGUCGGUAUUCCUGGACGUCGGUGACAAGAGCGUCUGGAAGAUGUAACCCCCCUUGGACAGGGUCCAGGCUCUAGUGUCCCGCUGGAAAGGAUACUGUGCUGCAAGCCCCAUCCCACCCCAGUGAAGACAUGGCUCUGAAGAGUGGCACUGAAGCAAAGCAGCCUCCCUGCGGAGCUUUCCCAAGCUAACCUGUUAUUACUGCCUCUCUGAAGUUGGCGCCGCCGCUCGCCCACCCACUGCCAGUGAGUACUACGCAUGGAGACGGUCUAGGAGCUGGCAGAUCAGAUCAGAUCACUUCAGCAACUCGCACAGCCUCACAGCCUCAGUUUCUCCUCUGGACAAUGCAUACCAAGACAGCUCUGUACAAAAACUCCCGAUGUAAAAUGUCCAGAGUGAAGUAUUGCUUGCAUGGAGGGAGCUCUUGAUUUGCAGCACAGGGCUCAGAACGGCCUCUGGGUGAAGAAGUCGGUUCCCUAGGCCUCAGUGACUAGUUGUCACAAACUCAAAACUACAGGACUCUUAGUUAAAUUGAUAUUUCCUGGGAACAGUUGAGUAGUGUUUUAGGAAGAACUGCUUCUAUACGACCUUCUUGUAUCAAGACAAUAGUCACUGUUUAAUUGAAAUUUAAAAUUUA
rnacentral:lncRNA from 1 species